UACGGAGGGAGCUAGCGUUGUUCGGAAUUACUGGGCGUAAAGCGCACGUAGGCGGCUAUUCAAGUCAGAGGUGAAAGCCCGGGGCUCAACCCCGGAACUGCCUUUGAAACUAGAUAGCUAGAAUCUUGGAGAGGUCAGUGGAAUUCCGAGUGUAGAGGUGAAAUUCGUAGAUAUUCGGAAGAACACCAGUGGCGAAGGCGACUGACUGGACAAGCAUUGACGCUGAGGUGCGAAAGCGUGGGGAGCAAACAGGAUUAGAAACCCCAGUAGUCC
rnacentral:rRNA from 1 species